rnacentral:rRNA from 1 species
CCCUAGUAUAUCUAUUAGGAAUAAAUGAGUAAAUUGUGAAAAUUAAUGAUAUUGGCGGUUAAUUAUAUAUUAAAGGAGCUUGUUUUUUAUUAAGAAAAUACUCUUUAUAUUUUAAUAUUGAUUAGUUUAUUCAUUUCUGUUAUCAAAUUAAUUAUUAUGAAAAAAUUUUUUUUUAUUUCAGGUCAAGAUGUAGCAUUUAAUUUAAAAAAUUAGCUACAAUUAUAAAAUUAAUGGAAUUUAAUUUUUUAAAAUUAAUCUAAAUUGAAUUUAGUUGUAAUAAUAUUUAGAAUGUUAUUAUGAUUUUCAAUAAUUAAUGU